CUGGGCACUUGAUGCCCCUGAAGGGCCGUUGAAGACGACAACGUUGAUAGGCGGGGUGUGAAAGCGCAGUAAUGUGUGAAGCUAACCCGUACUAAUUGCCCGU
rnacentral:ncRNA from 1 species